rnacentral:rRNA from 1 species
AAAUGAAUUGACGGGACCCCGCACAAGCGGUGGAUCAUGUUGUUUAAUUCGAGGAUACGCGAAGAACCUUACCAGGCCUUGACAUCUUCUGCGAAGCUAUAGAGAUAUAGUGGAGGUUAACAGAAAGACAGGUGGUGCAUGGUUGUCGUCAGCUCGUGUCGUGAGAUGUUGGGUUAAGUCCCGUAACGAGCGCAACCCUUGUUGCUAGUUGCCAUCAUUAAGUUGGGGACUCUAGCGAGACUGCCAGUGACAAACUGGAGGAAGGUGGGGAUGACGUCAAAUCAUCAUGCCCUUUAUGGCCUGGGCUACAAACGUGAUACAAUGGCUGGAACAAAGAGAAGCGAAAGUGUGAGCUUAAGCGGAUCUCAUAAAAACAGUCUCAGUUCGGAUUGAAGUCUGCAACUCGACUUCAUGAAGCCGGAAUCGCUAGUAAUCGCAGAUCAGCAUGCUGCGGUGAAUACGUUCUCGGGGUUUGUACACACCGCCCGU